AGAUACUUGUGGCGGUAUUUGUCUCUGAGAUACUUGUGACUGUGAUUGUGUCCGAAAUCCUCCAAUGUUGCCAUGACCUUUGCCAUAAGUCGCAUUACCCAAGCCUUGUAAUUGCGAAAGUGCUUCAUUACCUGAUAAAGAACUAGGAUGAACUCCCAUUUUCACUUUUCAUCAAAUAACCUCUUAUUUUUGCGCCACGGAUGGUUCAUUGGAAGGAAGCGACGAUGACCCAUAUAACACAACUUACUACGUAAGGAAAU
rnacentral:lncRNA from 1 species